rnacentral:tRNA from 1 species
ACCGGUGUCGUCUAACGGCUUAGGACGCUCCCCUGUCACGGGAGUAAUGCGGAUUCGAUUUCCGUCACUGGUGCCA